AUUGAACGCUGGCGGCAUGCUCUACACAUGCAAGUCGGACGGCAGCACAGAGAAGCUUGCUUCUUGGGUGGCGAGUGGCGAACGGGUGAGUAACAUAUCGGAACGUACCGAGCAGUGGGGGAUAACUAAUCGAAAGAUUAGCUAAUACCGCAUAUAUUCUGAGGAAGAAAGCAGGGGACCAUUUGGCCUUGCGCUGUUUGAGCGGCCGAUAUCUGAUUAGCUAGUUGGUGGGGUAAAGGCCUACCAAGGCGACGAUCAGUAGCGGGUCUGAGAGGAUGAUCCGCCACACUGGGACUGAGACACGGCCCAGACUCCUACGGGAGGCAGCAGUGGGGAAUUUUGGACAAUGGGCGCAAGCCUGAUCCAGCCAUGCCGCGUGUCUGAAGAAGGGCUUCGGGUUGUAAAGGACUUUUGUCAGGGAAGAAAAGGAUAGGAUUAAUACCCCUGUCUGAUGACGUACCUGAA
rnacentral:rRNA from 1 species